rnacentral:rRNA from 1 species
UAGGGAAUCUUCCACAAUGGACGCAAGUCUGAUGGAGCAACGCCGCGUGAGUGAAGAAGGUUUUCGGAUCGUAAAGCUCUGUUGUUGGUGAAGAAGGAUAGAGGCAGUAACUGGUCUUUAUUUGACGGUAAUCAACCAGAAAGUCACGGCUAACUACGUGCCAGCAGCCGCGGUAAUACGUAGGUGGCAAGCGUUGUCCGGAUUUAUUGGGCGUAAAGCGAGCGCAGGCGGAAUGAUAAGUCUGAUGUGAAAGCCCACGGCUCAACCGUGGAACUGCAUCGGAAACUGUCAUUCUUGAGUGCAGAAGAGGAGAGUGGAAUUCCAUGUGUAGCGGUGGAAUGCGUAGAUAUAUGGAAGAACACCAGUGGCGAAGGCGGCUCUCUGGUCUGCAACUGACGCUGAGACUCGAAAGCAUGGGUAGCGAACAGG